UACGUAGGGGGCAAGCGUUAUCCGGAUUUACUGGGUGUAAAGGGAGCGUAGACGGCAGCGCAAGUCUGGAGUGAAAUGCCGGGGCCCAACCCCGGAACUGCUUUGGAAACUGUGCAGCUCGAGUGCAGGAGAGGUAAGCGGAAUUCCUAGUGUAGCGGUGAAAUGCGUAGACAUUAGGAGGAACACCAGUGGCGAAGGCGGCUUACUGGACUGUAACUGACGUUGAGGCUCGAAAGCGUGGGGAGCAAACAGG
rnacentral:rRNA from 1 species